rnacentral:misc_RNA from 1 species
UAUUGUUGGUCUGAGUAUUAAUUUACUUAGUUUAAUUCUUUAAUGUUCUUGUUCUUAUUAAUUUCAGGUUUUUGGUGCUUGGUUUCAGAGACUACUGUAUAGAUGUAUGGAAGGCAGUGAACUUCAUAAUAUCCAUUGUAUUGCAUACUUUCCCCUAGGCAUAUUCUUGUGUGCAGUACAAAGUAGUUGGUCUUUUUGUGAUUAAGACGGUGCGAUUAUGUAUUAAAUUGAAACAGGUGAUAAAAGAAGAAUGGAACAGCAGUUUUAUUGUAUUGUCCAGUGUGAUGCUGAAACUUCUUUCCAGAUUUACUGAGCUAAUUCAUUAUUGUUGCUAACACAGCUCUUUAAGCAAUUGUAGAUAGACUGACAUACCAAGCUUCCUAGCCAUGGUGCU